GAUAAACGCUGGCGGCGCACAUAAGACAUGCAAGUCGAACGGACUUAACCUCUUGCUUGCAAGAGGAGCGGUUAGUGGCGGACUGGUGAGUAACACGUAAGAAAUCUGCCUAUCAGAGGGGAAUAACAGUGAGAAAUCAUUGCUAAUACCGCAUAUGCCAUAAUUAUCGCAUGAUAGUAGUGGGAAAGGAGCAAUCCGCUGAUAGAUGAGCUUGCGUCUGAUUAGCUAGUUGGUGGGGUAACGGCCUACCAAGGCGACGAUCAGUAGCCGGACUGAGAGGUUGAACGGCCACAUUGGGACUGAGAUACGGCCCAG
rnacentral:rRNA from 1 species